CUUCAGCGGAAUGUUUUCCUUUCUAAGAGUUGCCGCGGUCAUGGUGUCUCUUCACAGCAAUAGAAACGCUAAGACACACCCCGUGGGGGUAUAGUGUGGGGUGGACCAAGGCAGCUGGCAAACCUCCCUGACUCUGAGUGUCGGAACAGAGCACCAGACUUAAGAGUCCAUGCACGAGCUUCCCUGUAACCUCAAACAAGGCAGCUAACUUGUCCAAGCCUUGGUUUCCUCAUCUGCAGAACAGAAACGACCCUACUGUUUUCUGCUACAAGAGUGAGGAACCGAGAAACGGAAGGCUCGAGAACCACAGCGUGCUCUGAAGACAGACCGCACUUUCAGUGCGGUGCGAUGACAUCCCCAGGUCUGGAGCAACGAGCUGACUAGAGCAGACUUCCAGUGAUAGUCACAGCCCAGGGGUGUCACCCAGGGUUGGGGCACUUGUGUGAGGUUCUGGGUUCCAUCCUCAGCCACAUCCAUCCAAAGCACACACCGAGGUGGCACCACUUCCAGCCCUGUGAGAGUAUUUAACCCCUGAAUGCUCACCCAGACCCAAUGGGUAGAAGCUUCAAUGAGUGCCACUUUUUGAAUGAGAAACACUAAAGCCACCAUGUAUCCAGAACCAGGACUGGAACCUGUCUUAAACCCAACACAUAGCACCAUGAGACAACCCCAAGUUUCAACUGGGUCGUCAACAUGUCAACCAGGUGGCCACAUGGACCCUCUGGACCCCCAGUCUCUUGUGCAUUCUGUGGGUCAUGCGUACCCGAGCCUGAAGACCUGGCAAGGAUGCUUCCUGAGGCUCGGGCACAAAUGAGGAUGAGUACAGUGAGGAGGGCAAAGUCCUGCUUCCCAUCCCCAGCGACUGCCCAGAGCAAGGCAGGGGAGAGGAGGAGGCUGAGCAGGGGCCAGGAAAAUGGGUGUGCGGGAAAGUGGGAAAGGAGAGGUGUCUAAGACCUCUCCCCUCCCCAAGGGUUUGGAUGGAACAGUUGGCAAAUGCACUCGGAAAGGGCCUAGAAAGUGUUCGUUAAAGGUAUCGUUAAAGGCAUCAAGGACCACACGGUCCUUGUCACAAGAGUCCGUUCUGCCGCUGCAGCAGGACAGCCGACAGACAGUCAGCAAGCAAAUGAGCGUGGCUGUGUGCCAGCACAACUGUGCACGAACCCUGACAUUUACUUCAUACAAUGUUCACUUGACAGGAAAUGUUGCUUUUCUUGUCAUUCUUCCUUUACACAUUUAAAAAUGUGAAAUGCUCUCUCAUCUCAGAGGCCACAUUACAAUAUGCCGUAGGCCUGAUCUUGUCGGUGUCAUCUGCCAACCUUGGUUCUAGAAAGAACUGCCUGAAUAGGAGGGCGUAUAGGAGUCUGGGGUUUGAAUGACAGCUCUGUCACUUUUUGGCUGUGCAACUGUGAGUAAGUCCUUAACCUCUCUGAUCCAUAUUACCUGCUCUCUACAGUGGCUGAUGUUUCACGCCCCCCUCUGCCAGCGUGGAGGUUCUAAAAUGAAAAGAUUCGAGAACACUGCAGCCCCUCUCAGGAAUGUGAGCAGGUCUGCACCUACUUCCCCUGCUCUGCAAAGCCCUCAUGGGUGGCAAAGUCCAGGAUGAUGUUUGUCUUCUGUCUUCAAUUUGCUGCUACCCUCCCUGCUCUGCCUCCCCUACCUGUCUUUUGGAUGGUCCAAACCACCCACAGUGAGUGGUCAGGAACAGGAUUCGUUGCUAGGGCCCAGUGUUCCUGUGCCCACAGGCCCUGCUCCUGGAGGUCUGGGCCCCUCCACAGUCUGCAGGCAGGAGAGGUUCCCACUGCUCACCCGGGUUGUCCAUGCAUGGGGAAGGGUUCCCAGGUGCAGGUAACUGCUUGUUCUAAACUCAUGUUAGAGGACGCACAUACUUGUAUAGUGUGUGAAAGAAUAUUUUGUUUAAAAAUUUUUGUAGUAGCGUGCGUGUUUUGUAUUGUUUUGUUUUUUUGAGAUGGGGUUUCUCCGCAUAGCCCUUGCUGUUCUGUGUUGUUUUACACG